CACGUAGGGUGCGAGCGUUGUCCGGAAUUAUUGGGCGUAAAGAGCUCGUAGGCGGUGUGUCGCGUCGGCCGUGAAAACCUGCAGCUUAACUGUGGGCGUGCGGUCGAUACGGGCAUCACUGGAGUUCGGCAGGGGAGACUGGAAUUCCUGGUGUAGCGGUGAAAUGCGCAGAUAUCAGGAGGAACACCGGUGGCGAAGGCGGGGCUCUGGGCCGAUACUGACGCUGAGGAGCGAAAGCGUGGGGAGCGAACAGG
rnacentral:rRNA from 1 species